GGAGGAAAAGGGCAAAGAAAUUUCUGGAACCAGGGGGGGUUUGCAAGAUGCAAAAUUCACCGGCGAUCUACAUACAAGGUUGCCAUCCGUUGCGAUGUCCUCCUCGCCUUUCUUUCACCCAUCCUUCAUCUCCCUUGAUUGCUGCCUCUUCCUCCUUUCUGCAUCAUCAACUCGUCUCCUUCAUUUUUGUGUUUUGUAUCUCAUGGUGGUACAUGCUAUCCGCGUGGUUUAAGCAAGGAAUUGGGAAUACGGUUAAUGGAAGAUGGUGGUGGGGGUGUCCGAUUGAAGUAGGUUUGUCCGAGGGUUAGGAGUUGAAUUGUGGAAUGCACUUGAAAUGUUUGUUAAAUGUUCACGAGAAGAAUUGGAUUGGGAGGCUAGUAAAAUUUGCCAGAAAGCUAAGGCUUAUGCCAUAGAAGGGCGAAAGAAACUUAAUUAACGUUCAAGUUCAUGAAGGGGAUGAUGGGACACUCAUGGCUGACAAAAUGCUUCGCCGAAAGGGAAAGUAGAAGAUGUUAUAUUUCAAACUCGGGUCAUUCGGUUACUUAGCUAAUAUUCAAGGGUGAUAAAACUCAAUCAUUAUUCGAAUUUGUAACUUUAGUACUUGCAGAAAAAGAAAAAGAAAAAGAAAGGUUAAGAUUCAAGUUCUCUUACUAUAUUAAAUUGUUGCAAAUUGAGGAUUAAGAUGGUGUAUCUUGGCUGCCAAAAUCAUCGUGCUAAAGGGCUUAUGCGGCAUAUUAUUGUUCACGAUUGUAAGAGUAAAGAAUAAGGAUUAUCUUGAAGUAUAAUGAAAGUGUGAAUAGCAUCCCAUAAAUAGGUUUUUA